AAUAAGGAGGUUGAGGAAAGAACUUGUUCCCAGAGCUCAGCCCAUGCCUUAUUUUGACAGGCCAUUCAUCCCCAAAAGGUCUGCAAAGCCGAGGACGGUCCCAAAGGAGCCAAAGUUUCAUGUCAAACCCGCCGAAGAAUCAUGGAAGAUUUGCGAGCAUUCAAUGAUCAAAGAAAAUGAGGCCAUGUGAGCUGCUUUCUAUGGAGCUGAUCAUGCUAAUUCUUAAAUGUUUCCACCAUUUUUUACAUAAUUGACCUGCAUGAAAAUAAUUUCUUGCAUUGUAAUUUUUGAAUUUAGAAUGGUUGGGUGAUAUGAGAGAAUAUGUGAGGAGUAUUUUGCUAUUUUCUUUGUAAAUAUAUUUUUCAG